GCUGUCAAUGUGCACUGCGCUGAUAUUCCAAACUGAUUUAGUCAAAGAAAUGCUGCGGCAGUUGGCUCAUUAAAGUGAAAUUGGCAAAUCCACACCUAUUUAGAUACGUAGAAUUUGUGAGUUAGUCCGAAAAGUGUAAUUGAAGACGUUUGUAGAAGGAGGAGGAGAAAAAGAACAUAUAAACUUGGUCUUUUGUUAUGCGAUUCUGUGGAAUUUCCAAGAGUGCUCCAAAAGGUGGAACUGGAGGAGCAGGAGGAGCUGGAGGAGCAGCUGGAGCGGAAGCGGGAGUGAUAAUAAAACAGCAACGAAGGUCAUUACUGGAAAAACGGGUUUUUCUAGCCAACCUCUACAGUUGGCUCUGCAGCAUGAAGAAUUUUUCAGUUGCAGCUCCAGUUGCCCCGGCUGCAGCAGUUGCAUCUGCAUAAAUUAUGCACCCAGAGCCAUUUGCAAAUUGUCAUUCAUCGUUGGGACGCCAACUACUGGCGACAUCUCCGCCGAUGAGGAGAUGAUGAAACGGAGAGAUGGGGAUGCGGAUGACAUGGCUUUAAGCCCACGCCGGGUUAACGCCUUGUCGCAGAUCUGGUUGCUAAUGGUCGACGGAGAUGGUGGCGCUGAUGCCAUUAAAGGUCACUUGGCGGGUGACGAAACGAGUUUCAGAUAAGAUUAAGGCCAAAAUUGCAAGUAUAACUGAGCUUUCUUUGUGGAGUAACCAAAGC